ensembl:lncRNA
GAGACAUAGAAUCGUGACUGCCUGAGCCUUUCUUCAUACUCAGGGACAUGAAGCCUAGAACCAAACAAUUUUCCUGUUCGAAUCAAAGUACAUGGUGCAAAGUACAGUGUGCGUAAAGAGUUUAUAAUGAGAAUCAGCAGUCCUCUGCCCACUCCCUGCGGGCUUUUGAUUCUCUCUCCUGGUUCUUCAGGUGGAACGUGAAUUUAGCGUGGGAACAAGAGCAGCCACCUUAGACCAUGAGAUGGCUGCUGUGUGUUGAAGAGGAAGUGCAACAAGGAUAGAAACAGCCUGGGUCCUUGCCGCCACGGGACCCCCAUGUCCAUGCCGGGCUGCCCACACUCAGACUGUUGCAGAGGGAGAAAAAAACUUCUCUCUUAUUUUAACUCCUGUUAUUUUGUCCUUUAUUCCAGCAACUGAACUGGUAUCCUAAAAAUACAGUGGUAUCCUGGGAUUUGCCUCCUGAUAUCACUGAGGAAAACAGCCAAAACUGGCCUCCUCCUACUCAGACAGUAGAGCAAAAAUGAUUGAUUUUCUGCUUGGUACAUCCUAUAGGUUCUGUGAAGGGAGAAGCAGCCUAAAGAUGUUUCCAGUUUCACUGGGAUAUGGUCCAGCCCUACAGAGCUCCUCUCCUCUUUUUUUUAAAUCUUUCUAGAUUUAUUUAUUAUUUUUAUUUGACUUUUUUCUUUUUUUUUAAUUGAGGUAACAUGCUUUAUAACAUUGUAUAAAUUUCAAGCAUACAUCAUUAUGUUUUGACUUCUAUAUAGACUACAUUGUGUUCACCACCAAAAGUCUUAGCUGCCAUCCGUCACCAUACAAAGGUGUCCCUUUACCCCUGAUCGCCCUCUCACCAACCCCCUUCCCUUCUGGUAACCACCAAUCUGUUCUGUGUGUUUGUUUGUUGUUGUUGUUGAUGUUGUUUUUAUCUUCCACCUAUGAGUGAAAUUGUACAGUAUUUGUCUUUCUCCAUCUGACUUAUUUCGCUUAGCAUAAUACCCUUGAGUUCCAUGCAUGUUGUCACAAAUGGAAAGAUUUUACAUCUCAAAAGAGGGAGACUUCAACACACAACUGAGGCUAUAACAUUAAUUUCAGAACCGUGUCCCUCAGACAGGUCCUCUCAUUGACUGUGUCCUGCUUCUCACCCUCAUCCUGCUGUCAACCCCUG